GCCCUAGUAACGGCGAGUGAAGCGGCAACAGCUCAAAUUUGAAAUCUGGCGCAAGCCCGAGUUGUAAUUUGUAGAGGAUGUUUCUGGCGAAGUGCCUUCCGAGUUCCCUGGAACGGGACGCCAUAGAGGGUGAGAGCCCCGUACGGUUGGAUGCCUAGCCUCUGUGAAACUCCUUCGACGAGUCGAGUAGUUUGGGAAUGCUGCUCUAAAUGGGAGGUAUACGUCUUCUAAAGCUAAAUACCGGCCAGAGACCGAUAGCGCACAAGUAGAGUGAUCGAAAGAUGAAAAGCACUUUGAAAAGAGGGUUAAAAAGUACGUGAAAUUGUUGAAAGGGAAGCGUUCAUGACCAGACUUGGGUAGGUUGAUCAUCCGUGGUUCUCCGCGGUGCACUCUGCCUGCCCAGGCCAGCAUCAGUUCGCCCCGGGGGAUAAAGGUUUCGGGAAUGUGGCUCCUCCGGGAGUGUUAUAGCCCGUUGCGUAAUACCCUGGGGUGGACUGAGGUUCGCGCUCCGCAAGGAUGCUGGCGUAAUGGUCAUCAACGACCCGUCUUGAAACACGGACCAAGGAGUCGUCUUCGUAUGCGAGUGUUCGGGUGUCAAACCCCUACGCGUAAUGAAAGUGAACGUAGGAGAGAGCUUCGGCGCAUCUCCGACCGAUCCUGAUGUUCUCGGAUGGAUUUGAGUAAGAGCAUACGGGGCCGGACCCGAAAGAAGGUGAACUAUGCCUGUAUAGGGUGAAGCCAGAGGAAACUCUGGUGGAGGCUCGCAGCGGUUCUGACGUGCAAAUCGAUCGUCAAAUAUGGGCAUGGGGGCGAAAGACUAAUCGAACCUUCUAGUAGCUGGUUUCCGCCGAAGUUC
rnacentral:rRNA from 1 species